rnacentral:rRNA from 1 species
UACGUAGGUGGCAAGCGUUGUCCGGAUUUAUUGGGUUUAAGGGUGCGUAGGCGGUCUUUUAAGUCAGUGCUGAAAUACUCCAGCUUAACUGGAGGGGUGGCAUUGAUACUGGAAGACUUGAGUGCAGUCGAAGUAGGCGGAAUUGACGGUGUAGCGGUGAAAUGCUUAGAUAUCGUCAAGAACACCGAUAGUGAAGACAGCUUACUAGGCUGCAACUGACGCUGAGGCACGAAAAGUGUGGGGGAUCAAAACAGG